CUUUUUUAAAUAGCCACCUACGUUGGUAUGGAAUGUUUGUGAGCAUAGAUUGUGGAAAUAGAUUGUGGACAGCAUGUGGAAAGGGUUGAUGUAUAGCUGUACCAACCAUAAAAUCAGAGGGAACCAUACACAGACUGGGUCAUCUCAACCCACUUUCACCAUCUUGACUAUGGUGCCUAUCUACGCUGAACACAUUUGCCCUUAAUAGAUGCUGUAUGAUCUUCAUAACAUGUCAUAGAGUCACAGAAAAGUAUAAACCUGGAAUUGGAAAAACAUGGAGUUCUGUGACUGGAACAGAUGAAUGUGAAGGGAAGGUGUCACUCCAAAACUAACGGCAAAUUUCAGAUGAUCUCAUAUAUAUAUACACCACAAAACUGUGGUGGAAAAUUGGAAUUUCACACUGGUAACUGGAGAAUGUUUUCUUUUAUGUCAUGAUUUGUAACGACUGGCUCCAAUGCAAAACAAAUAAAUUCAGUUCCUAAAAGGAGAAGAUUUUGACCUGAAGGUUUUUGGCAAACCUUUGAAAAAUAUAUUUUCAAAUAUAAAAUAUAAAGCUUUUUUUGAAUAUAAAUCACCAAAAUGAAGUGCUCUAACCCUAAAAGCAGAUCACACUGGAGAUCACUUGAAGGAGCUAAUUAUCUAUAUAGGUGACCACAGUUCCCUUGCAAGUUGGUCAAGGUUUGGUUCCAAACUUUUCUUCAAAAAUCACCCCCAAAUCAACUGAUUUACUCAAUGGUUUCCCUCUGUGUACUAAAUAAGCCCAAAUAUGUCCAUGUAUUGUUUGAUUUAAUUAGUUCUAGUCUUGGAUUUUUUUUUUGACAGAAAGAACUCUGAGUUUAUCAACAGCUUGAUAAAUUCCUAUUCCCAAGACCACAGCGGCACACAUCUGUUGACUUCAAAAUUCUGUGAACAAGUGUGCUAUAGAAACUUUGUGGAAAAAGCAACUGAGUCAUCACUUUUCAUGGAUGAUUUUUUUUGACAGACAACUCGGAGCUUAUCAGCAGCUUGAUAAAUUCCUGCUCCCUGGGCCACCGUGGCACACAUCUGUUGGCUACUUCAAUAUUCUAUGGACAAUCUUGUGGAAAAA